GUGUGUGUGUGUAGUGUGUGUGUGUAGUGUGUGUGUGUAGUGUGUGUGUGUAGUGUGUGUGUGUAGUGUGUGUGUGUAGUGUGUGUUUCGGGUGUGUGUGUAGUGUGUGUGUGUAGUGUGUGUGUGUAGUGUGUGUGUGUAGUGUGUGUGUGUGGUGUGUGUGUGUAGUGUGUGUGUGUAGUGUGUGUGUGUGUUGUGUGUGUGUAGUGUGUGUGUGUAGUGUGUGUUUCGGGUGUGUGUGUAGUGUGUGUGUGUAGUGUGUGUGUGUAGUGUGUGUGUGUAGUGUGUGUGUGUAGUGUGUGUGUGUAGUGUGUGUGUUUCGGGUGUGUGUGUAGUGUGUGUGUGUAGUGUGUGUGUGUAGUGUGUGUGUGGGGUGUGUGUGUGUAGUGUGUGUGUGUAGUGUGUGUGUGUAGUGUGUGUGUGUAGUGUGUGUGUGUAGUGUGUGUGUGUAGUGUGUGUUUCGGGUGUGUGUGUAGUGUGUGUGUGUAGUGUGUGUGUGUAGUGUGUGUGUGUAGUGUGUGUGUGUGGUGUGUGUGUGUAGUGUGUGUGUGUAGUGUGUGUGUUUCGGGUGUGUGUGUAGUGUGUGUGUGUAGUGUGUGUGUGUAGUGUGUGUGUGGGGUGUGUGUGUGUAGUGUGUGUGUGUAGUGUGUGUGUGUAGUGUGUGUGUGUAGUGUGUGUGUAGUGUGUGUUUCGGGUGUGUGUGUAGUGUGUGUGUGUGUGUGUGUGUGUAGUGUGUGUGUGUAGUGUGUGUGUGUAGUGUGUGUGUGUAGUGUGUGUGUAGUGUGUGUUUCGGUGUGU
ensembl:lncRNA